GCCUUCCUAGCCUAGUGGUUGUGGGUUCGUUUCUAGCCAGGAGGUUGUGGGUUCGUUUCCCACUAGGAGGUU
rnacentral:tRNA from 1 species